ensembl:snRNA U4 U4 spliceosomal RNA
AGCUUUGCGCAGUGGCAGUAUCGUAGCCUAUGAGGUCUAUCCGAGGCGUGAUUAUUGCUAGUUGAAAACUUUACCCAAUACCCCGCCUUGACGACUUGAAAUAUAGUCGGCAACGGCAAUUUUUGACAGUCUCUAAGGAGA